rnacentral:rRNA from 11 species
GACUCUCGGCAACGGAUAUCUCGGCUCACGCAUCGAUGAAGAACGUAGCAAAAUGCGAUACUUGGUGUGAAUUGCAGAAUCCCAUGAACCAUCGAGUUUUUGAACGCAAGUUGCGCCCGAAGCCAUUCGGUUGAGGGCACGUCUGCCUGGGCGUCA